rnacentral:rRNA from 1 species
UUGGUAUUUAACGCAUGUGAACCCAAUUUAGCAACACCCCAAGAAAACCCUAUUUUUUAACUACACGUUAACCUUACACUAGAGCAUUCCUGGAAAGAUAUAAAGAAAAAGAAGGAACUCGGCAAACUUAAAUCCCGCCUGUUUACCAAAAACAUCGCCUCUUGACAUUAUCAUAAGAGGUCCAGCCUGCCCAGUGAAAUUUUUCAACGGCCGCGGUACCCUGACCGUGCGAAGGUAGCAUAAUCACUUGUUCUUUAAAUGGGGACUAGUAUCAACGGCACCACGAGGAUUUUACUGUCUCCUUUUUCUAAUCAGUGAAACUGAUCUCCCCGUGAAGAAGCGGGGCUAAUAAUAUAAGACGAGAAGACCCCAUGGAGCUUUAAACCCAAUAGCACCUCCAACUAUCUAUUCCCUCUUAGUUUUAAAGUUCUGCUCAUUGGUUUUAGGUUGGGGUGACCGCGGAGUAUAACUUAGCCUCCACAACGCAAGGAGCUUCCUCCUUAUCUUAGAGCCACACCUCAAAGAAUUAAUAAUUUGACGUAAAGUGAUCCAAUAAUUUGAUUAAUGAACCAAGUUACCCUGGGGAUAACAGCGCAAUCCAUUUCUAGAGCCCCUAUCGUCAAAUGGGUUUACGACCUCGAUGUUGGAUCAGGGUAUCCUAGUGGUGCAGCCGCUACUAAUGGUUUGUUUGUUCAACAAUUAAAACCCUACGUGAUCUGAG